rnacentral:rRNA from 1 species
AUACGUAGGGGGCGAGCGUUGUCCGGAAUGAUUGGGCGUAAAGGGCGCGUAGGCGGCCCGGUAAGUCUGGAGUGAAAGUCCUGUUUUUAAGAUGGGAAUUGCUUUGGAUACUGUCGGGCUUGAGUGCAGGAGAGGUAAGUGGAAUUCCCAGUGUAGCGGUGAAAUGCGUAGAGAUUGGGAGGAACACCAGUGGCGAAGGCGACUUACUGGACUGUAACUGACGCUGAGGCGCGAAAGUGUGGGGAGCAAACAGGAUUAGAUACCCUGGUAGUCCACACUGUAAACGAUGAAUGCUAGGUGUAGGGGGUAUCGACCCCUUCUGUGCCGCAGUCAACACAAUAAGCAUUCCGCCUGGGGAGUACGGCCGCAAGGUUGAAACUCAAAGGAAUGGACGGGG